rnacentral:misc_RNA from 1 species
GCUCCUACCGAUUGAGUGGUCCGGUGAAUUAUUCGGACUGACGCAGUGCUCAGCUUCUGGACGUUGCGUUGGAAAGUUUCAUGAACCUUAUCACUUAGAGGAAGGAGAAGUCGUAACAAGGUUUCCGUAGGUGAACCUGCAGAAGGAUCAAGUUCGGAAGAGCGUCGUGUCGGGUAGGGGUGUAGAUCUCGGUGGGGUCCGUAUCGUUACAUAAAAAAAAAUCAAACCUAACAUUCACUACCAUGUACACCACAUAGUAGCUGUAACAAGUCACGC